rnacentral:rRNA from 1 species
GACGAACGCUGGCGGCGUGCUUAACACAUGCAAGUCGAACGGAAAGGCCCUGCUUGCAGGGUACUCGAGUGGCGAACGGGUGAGUAACACGUGGGUGAUCUGCCCUGCACUUCGGGAUAAGCCUGGGAAACUGGGUCUAAUACCGGAUAGGAGCCAUUUUUAGUGUGAUGGUUGGAAAGUUUUUUCGGUGUAGGAUGAGCUCGCGGCCUAUCAGCUUGUUGGUGGGGUAAUGGCCUACCAAUGCGGCGACGGGUAGCCGGCCUGAGAGGGUGGACGGCCACAUUGGGACUGAGGUACGGCCCAGACUCCUACGGGAGGCAGCAGUGGGGAAUAUUGCACAAUGGGCGGAAGCCUGAUGCAGCGACGCCGCGUGGGGGAUGACGGCCUUCGGGUUGGAAACUCCUUUCGCUAGGGACGAAGCUUUUUGUGACGGUACCUAGAGAAGAAGCACCGGCUAACUACGUG